rnacentral:tRNA from 1 species
GAUAAAUCAAGGCUUUUUAUUCCCCUGCUAAGGGAGUAGGACGUGUAAAAAGCGUCGCGGAGGUUCAAAUCCUCUCUUCCGCGCCA